rnacentral:rRNA from 1 species
GAUGAACGCUGGCGGCGUGCCUAAUACAUGCAAGUCGAGCGAACGGACGAGAAGCUUGCUUCUCUGAUGGUAGCGGCGGACGGGGGAGUAACACGUGGAAAACCUACCUAUAAGACUGGGAUAACUUCGGGAAACCGGAGCUAAGACCGGAUGAUAUUUUGAACCGCAUGGUUCAACAGUGAAAGACGAUCUUGCUGUCACUUAUAGAUGGAUCCGCGCUGCAUUAGCUAGUUGGUAAGGUAACGGCUUACCACGGCCACGAUGCAUAGCCGACCUGAGAGGGUGAUCGGCCACACUGGAACUGAGACACGGUCCAGACUCCUACGGGAGGCAGCAGUAGGGAAUCUUCCGCAAUGGGCGAAAGCCUGACGGAGCAACGCCGCGUGAGUGAUGAAGGUCUUCGGAUCGUAAAACUCUGUUAUUAGGGAAGAACAUAUGUGUAAGUAACUGUGCACAUCUUGACGGUACCUAAUCAGAAAGCCACGGCUAACUACGU